AUUGAACGCUGGCGGCAGGCCUAACACAUGCAAGUCGAGCGGCAGCGGGAAGUAGCCUGCUACUUUGCCGGCGAGCGGCGGACGGGUGAGUAAUGUCUGGGAAACUGCCUGAUGGAGGGGGAUAACUACUGGAAACGGUAGCUAAUACCGCAUAACGUCGCAAGACCAAAGAGGGGGACCUUCGGGCCUCUUGCCAUCAGAUGUGCCCAGAUGGGAUUAGCUAGUAGGUGGGGUAAUGGCUCACCUAGGCGACGAUCCCUAGCUGGUCUGAGAGGAUGACCAGCCACACUGGAACUGAGACACGGUCCAGACUCCUACGGGAGGCAGCAGUGGGGAAUAUUGCACAAUGGGCGCAAGCCUGAUGCAGCCAUGCCGCGUGUAUGAAGAAGGCCUUCGGGUUGUAAAGUACUUUCAGCGGGGAGGAAGGUGUUGAGGUUAAUAACCUCAGCAAUUGACGUUACCCGCAGAAGAAGCACCGGCUAACUCCGUGCCAGCAGCCGCGGUAAGAC
rnacentral:rRNA from 1 species